UGUGUUUUUCUAAUCCGUUUUCAUCUCUUUCACCCUGGCAGGCAACCAAAACUACACUUUCCUGAACGUGACCAAUUGUGUGAUGUUUGGAUAUAAAAUCCAUCUUGCUCUCUAUAAAUAUUUAUUUUAAGCAUGGGCAGAGUGCUAUUCAAAUAUGUAGUCCUUCUACAAUGAUUUUCGGAGAAUUCAAGCCAUCCAACUUCAGUCAGGAUUAAUGCAGCGUAA